CUUCCCUCAUUUAACCGACCUUUCCUCUCCCGCUCCACACACCCGCUCCUCCCCGCAUCUUCAUCUACAAUUCCUUCAAUUCUUCCGUUUCUUCAUCUACGAUUCUUCGGGUUUUCAACCCCAACCCCCUCCUCUAUGAUUCUUAGGAUUCUUCCAUUUCUUCAAUUCUUCCCUCAGUUUUUGCCUUUAUUAUUAACGUUACUGAUUUUAGAGCUUUACAUUUCUUAACUAAAAUUUAAGCUUAUUUGCGGUUGUAUAAAUAACGUAGUGCUUCAGUUUUGAUGGAGCACAGACGACGUUUCAAUUGUAUAAUGAUUAAAAAUAACCAACAACUACAACAAGGAAAGCAAGUGUUGAGCAGAAAUCAGAAGGACACGGUGGUGCACAGACAAAGUUAAAAGCCCAACCUUUAAAUAAGAAGGUACUUGUGCCAUUGCUAACGGAUCAGAAGAAAUGGAGGCAGUAAUGAUUAUCGACAUUCUACGUAGAGCCAAAGCUAAUGUUGUUGUGGCGAUAGUUAAAGAUGGAUUAAAAAUUGUAGCAUCUAGAAAAGUGAAAAUAGUAGCAGAUAAUCUUUUGGAUGAGGCUGUUAAAUUACAAAAUGACCUAAGUGUUCUGUCGGUCAGGAGGGCUUCCUGGUGCACAAGCAUUCACAAACUCGGCAAAGUUCGUUGAAUUGCUGAAAAAGCAGGCUGAAUCAAAUAAAUUGUAUGGGGCAAUAUGUGCUUCUCCAGCUCUAGCGCUUGAGCCACAUGGUUUACUCAAAGUUCGACUUCAAGGCUCACCCUUGUGUGUGAUUGAAUCAACCAUUUGUUAGUCUUACAGAUAAUAUUCUCUAUAUUUUCUUUUUCUUUUUCUGAUUUUCUUUUUUAAGGGUAAGGAGGUAAAAGCAUACCUUGCAAUGUGCAGCAAGCUUUCUGAUCAAUAUGAAUGUAGAAUAGGGUGGUGGUUGAUGGAAACCUGAUCACUAACAGAGGGCCAGAGACUUCCAUGGAGUUUGUGCAGGCCAUAGUAGAUAAGUUCUUUGGCCAUGAAAAAACCCUCGAUCUUGCAAGAAGCCUGGUUUUUGUAUAAUGAGCUAAUAAUAGCCCUGUGGUGGAGAGCUGUGCAUAAGGAUGUAAUCAAUAGUUUUUGUAUAAACUAAGUUGCAACGACCCACUAUCUGCUGCAGUUUUUGUAAGAGUAUUGUGUGUUCAAUCGGUUUGAGUCGUCUGUGAUUGUACUUAAACCAUCGGUUCAAAUACACGAUGAAGUAAUGUCACAGUAAGACUAAUAAAAUGUCACCAUGUAUGUAUACUAUUUAAA